AGUGAACGCUGGCGGUAGGCCUAACACAUGCAAGUCGAACGGCAGCACAGUAAGAGCUUGCUCUUACGGGUGGCGAGUGGCGGACGGGUGAGGAAUACAUCGGAAUCUACUUUUUCGUGGGGGAUAACGUAGGGAAACUUACGCUAAUACCGCAUACGACCUACGGGUGAAAGCAGGGGAUCUUCGGACCUUGCGCGAUUGAAUGAGCCGAUGUCGGAUUAGCUAGUUGGCGGGGUAAAGGCCCACCAAGGCGACGAUCCGUAGCUGGUCUGAGAGGAUGAUCAGCCACACUAGAACUGAGACACGGUCCUGACUCCUACGGGAGGCAGCAGUGGGGAAUAUUGGACAAUGGGCGCAAGCCUGAUCCAGCCAUACCGCGUGGGUGAAGAAGGCCUUCGGGUUGUAAAGCCCUUUUGUUGGGAAAGAAAAGCAGCAGGUUAAUACCCCGCUGUUCUGACGGUACCCAAAGAAUAAGCACCGGCUAACUUCGUG
rnacentral:rRNA from 1 species